rnacentral:rRNA from 1 species
GGGGCGCGCCUAACACAUGCAAGUCGAACGAGAGAUGAGGAGCUUGCUCUUCAAAUCGAGUGGCGAACGGGUGAGUAACGCGUGAGGAACCUGCCUCAAAGAGGGGGACAACAGUUGGAAACGACUGCUAAUACCGCAUAAGCCCACGGCUCGGCAUCGAGCAGAGGGAAAAGGAGCAAUCCGCUUUGAGAUGACCUCGCGUCCGAUUAGCUAGUUGGUGAGGUAACGGCCCACCAAGGCGACGAUCGGUAGCCGGACUGAGAGGUUGAACGGCCACAUUGGGACUGAGACACGGCCCAGACUCCUACGGGAGGCAGCAGUGGGGAAUAUUGCACAAUGGGGGAAACCCUGAUGUAGCGACGCCGCGUGGAGGAAGAAGGUCUUCGGAUUGUAAACUCCUGUUGUUGAGGAAGAUAAUGACGGUACUCAACAAGGAAGUGACGGCUAACUACGUGCCAGCAGCCGCGGUAAAACGUAGGUCACAAGCGUUGUCCGGAAUUACUGGGUGUAAAGGGAGCGCAGGCGGGAGAACAAGUUGGAAGUGAAAUCCAUGGGCUCAACCCAUGAACUGCUUUCAAAACUGUUUUUCUUGAGUAGUGCAGAGGUAGGCGGAAUUCCCGGUGUAGCGGUGGAAUGCGUAGAUAUCGGGAGGAACACCAGUGGCGAAGGCGGCCUACUGGGCACCAACUGACGCUGAGGCUCGAAAGUGUGGGUAGCAAACAGGAUUAGAUACCCUGGUAGUCCACACCGUAAACGAUGAUUACUAGGUGUUGGAGGAUUGACCCCUUCAGUGCCGCAGUUAACACAAUAAGUAAUCCACCUGGGGAGUACGACCGCAAGGUUGAAACUCAAAGGAAUUGACGGGGGCCCGCACAAGCAGUGGAGUAUGUGGUUUAAUUCGACGCAACGCGAAGAACCUUACCAAGUCUUGACAUCCUGCGACGCACAUAGAAAUAUGUGUUUCCUUCGGGACGCAGAGACAGGUGGUGCAUGGUUGUCGUCAGCUCGUGUCGUGAGAUGUUGGGUUAAGUCCCGCAACGAGCGCAACCCUUAUGGUCAGUUACUACGCAAGAGGACUCUGGCCAGACUGCCGUUGACAAAACGGAGGAAGGUGGGGAUGACGUCAAAUCAUCAUGCCCUUUAUGACUUGGGCUACACACGUACUACAAUGGCGUUAAACAAAGAGAAGCAAGACCGCGAGGUGGAGCAAAACUCAGAAACAACGUCCCAGUUCGGACUGCAGGCUGCAACUCGCCUGCACGAAGUCGGAAUUGCUAGUAAUCGUGGAUCAGCAUGCCACGGUGAAUACGUUCCCGGGCCUUGUACA